rnacentral:rRNA from 1 species
AUUCCGGUUGAUCCCGCCGGAGACUACUACUAUCAGGAUUCGGCUUAGCCAUGCGAGGUACUUGUAGCAAUACAAACCGUACUGCUCAGUAACACGUAGUCAACCUGCCCUAUAGACGGGGAUAAUCCUGGGAAACUGGGCGUAAUACCCGAUAGGCGAUAAUUGCUGGAAGGCUUUUUCGCUUAAAGCAGCAAUGUGCUAUAGGAUGGGACUGCGACGGAUUAGCUUGUUGUUGAGGUAAUUGCUCAACAAGGCUAUAAUCCGUACGGGUCGUGAGAGCGAUUGCCCGGAGAUGGCUUCUGAGACAUGAAGCCAGGCCCUACGGGGCGCAGCAGGCGCGAAAACUUCGCAAUGCCCGAAAGGGUGACGAGGGAAUCCUGAGUGAUAUCGCAAUGCGGUAUCUUUUACUUACUGUAAAAAGGUAAGCGAAUAAGAGGUGGGUAAGACGGUUGCCAGCCGCCGCGGUAAUUCGAAGAAUCGUAACAAACAUUCUUCUGGCAGUUUUAUUUGAUUAUGAAAAUAGUCAAAUGAUUCUUGAAUAAGCAAUGACGCAUUUAUGCGUCGUACGACACGGGUUCUUCGAACCGUAAAUAACCGCGCCUCAAGUUGUAGUCACGUUUAUUGGGCCUAAAGCGUCCGUAGCUGGUUUGAUAAGUCUUUGGUGAAAUCCAACAGCAAACUGUUGGGAUGGCUGGAGAUACUAUCAGACUCGAGACCGGGAGAGGUCAGGGGUAUUUCACGGGUAAGAGUAAAAUCUUUUAAUCCGUGAAGGACCACCUGUGGCGAAGGCGCCUGACUGGAACGGGUCUGACAGUGAGGGACGAAAGCGUGGGGAGCAACCGGGAUUAGAUAUUGAGAAAUUCCGAUUGGGAGAUUUUCGAAUUUCUCAAUUUAGUGAAAAAUGGAAUUUUUCAACUAAAUACCCCGUUAGUCCACGCUGUAAACGAUGCCCAUUUGGUGUCACACAAUCUUCGAGAUUCUGUGGUGCCGUAGCGAAGGUGUUAAAUGGGCCGCCUGGGGAGUACGACCGCAAGGUUGAAACUUAAGGGAAUUGGCGGGGGAGCACUACCAGGGGUGGAGGCUGCGGUUUAAUUGGAUUCAACGCCAGGAACCUUACCCGUGAAGACAGCAGAAUGAGGGUCACUCUAAAGGGGUUACCUGACAAGCUGAGAAGUGCUGCAUGGCCGUCGUCAGUUCGUGCUGUGAAGUGUCGUGUUAAGUCACGAAACGAACGAGACCCGUGCCGCUAGUUGCUACUAUCCUCCCCGGAGGGUAGGCACUCUAGCGGGACCGCUGUUGCUAAAACAGAGGAAGGAGCGGGCUACGGCAGGUCAGUAUGGCCUGAAUUUACGGGGAUACACGCGGCCUACAAUGCGUAGGACAACGGGAUGCAACGCCGUAAGGCGAAGCCAAUCUCUUAAACCUACGCUUAGUUCGGAUCGAGGGCUGCAACUCGCCCUCGUGAAGCCGGAAUCCCUAGUAAGCGAAGGUCAUCAACGGAGCAAGUGCAAGAUGAUUUUUUGGCGAGACGAACAGAGUGUCAGAACGGUUUGACUAUGAGGAAAUUCUUGUUGACGCAGGAAUUUCCGGUGAAUAUAGACUGGGCGGAUGACACUUUAAUUUGUCUAUAGCAGCACUAUGAUGCAUUUGCUUCAGUGGAAUCUUUCGCUGAAUACGUCCCUGCUCCUUGCACACACCGCCCGUCAAACCAUCCGAGUGGACUUUUGGUGAAGCUCGCGUAGAGCGAUUUGAAUCACAAGUCUGCAAGGAGGGUUAAGUCGUAACUUUAAAAGUCGACUAAGACAAGUAUU